GAUGAACGCUGGCGGCGUGCCUAAUACAUGCAAGUCGAGCGAACGGACGAGAAGCUUGCUUCUCUGAUGUUAGCGGCGGACGGGCGAGUAACACGUGGAUAACCUACCUAUAAGACUGGGAUAACUUCGGGAAACCGGAGCUAAUACCGGAUAAUAUUUUGAACCGCAUGGUUCAAAAGUGAAAGACGGUCUUGCUGUCACUUAUAGAUGGAUCCGCGCUGCAUUAGCUAGUUGGUAAGGUAACGGCUUACCAAGGCAACGAUGCAUAGCCGACCUGAGAGGGUGAUAGGCCACACUGGAACUGAGACACGGUCCAGACUCCUACGGGAGGCAGCAGUAGGGAAUCUUCCGCAAUGGGCGAAAGCCUGACGGAGCAACGCCGCGUGAGUGAUGAAGGUCUUCGGAUCGUAAAACUCUGUUAUUAGGGAAGAACAGAUGUGUAAGUAACUGUGCACAUCUUGACGGUACCUAAUCAGAAAGCCACGGCUAACUACGUG
rnacentral:rRNA from 1 species